AGCCAUCCAGAUGUUACCGUGCUAGUCCACGAAAGUGGAGGAUAAUACUUCGAAUAGGUGAAAAACCUUGCUUUGUAAAGCUAGACCUGGAAAAGUUAGAGAAGUAG
rnacentral:sRNA from 12 species